GACCCCGCACAAGCGGUGGAUCAUGUUGUUUAAUUCGACGAUACACGAAGAACCUUACCAGGUCUUGACAUACCAUGCAAAGGCUUAGAAAUAAGUACGGAGGUUAACAUGGAUACAGGUGGUGCACGGUUGUCGUCAGCUCGUGUCGUGAGAUGUUGGGUUAAGUCCCGCAACGAGCGCAACCCUUAUUGCUAGUUACCAUCAUUAAGUUGGGGACUCUAGCGAGACUGCCAGUGAUAAACUGGAGGAAGGUGGGGAUGACGUCAAAUCAUCAUGCCCCUUAUGACCUGGGCUACAAACGUGAUACAAUGGCUGAAACAAAGGGAAGCGAUACCGCGAGGUGGAGCGAAUCCCAAAAAAGCAGUCUCAGUUCGGAUUGAAGUCUGCAACUCGACUUCAUGAAGUCGGAAUCGCUAGUAAUCGCGAGUCAGCAUAUCGCGGUGAAUACGUUCUCGGGGUUU
rnacentral:rRNA from 1 species